GAGACAGCAGCCGCCACGGGAAUACGUAGGUGGCAAGCGUUGUCCGGAAUUAUUGGGCGUAAAGGGCUCGCAGGCGGUUUCUUAAGUCUGAUGUGAAAGCCCCCGGCUCAACCGGGGAGGGUCAUUGGAAACUGGGAAACUUGAGUGCAGAAGAGGAGAGUGGAAUUCCACGUGUAGCGGUGAAAUGCGUAGAGAUGUGGAGGAACACCAGUGGCGAAGGCGACUCUCUGGUCUGUAACUGACGCUGAGGAGCGAAAGCGUGGGGAGCAAACAGGAUUAGAUACCCCGGUAGUCCCUGUCUCUUAUAC
rnacentral:rRNA from 1 species